rnacentral:misc_RNA from 1 species
GAUGAAGAACGUAGCGAAAUGCGAUACUUGGUGUGAAUUGCAGAGUCCCGUGAACCAUCGAGUCUUUGAACGCAAGUUGCGCCUCAAGCCAUUAGGUUGAGGGCACGUCUGCCUGGGCGUCACAUAUCGUUGCCUGAUGCCAGUUUCCUCGUGAUGGGUGACUGUGCAGGGCGAAUGAUGGCUUCCCGUGAGCAUUGUUGCCUCAUGGUUGGUUGAAAAUUGAGUCCUUGGUAGGGAGCGCCGUGAUAGAUGGUGGUUGAGUGACGAACGAGACCCAAUCAUGUGAGACCCCUACCGAAUUUGGCCUUCAUGACCCACAUGCGUCUUUGGAACGCUCAUGACGAGACCUCAGGUCAGGCGGGGCUACCCGCUGAGUUUAAGCAUAUCAAUAAGCGGAGGA